rnacentral:pre_miRNA from 1 species
CAAAUACUCCGUUCGUCCGAAAAUACUUGUCCUAAAAAUACAUAUAUCUAGACUUAUUUUAGUUAUAGAUACAUUCUUUUUAUUCAUUUUUAGGAUAAGUAUUUCCGAAUCGGAGGAAGUAGUAU